rnacentral:rRNA from 2 species
GGUAACACUAACUGGAGGACCGAACCGACUAAUGUUGAAAAAUUAGCGGAUGACUUGUGGCUGGGGGUGAAAGGCCAAUCAAACCGGGAGAUAGCUGGUUCUCCCCGAAAGCUAUUUAGGUAGCGCCUCGUGAAUUCAUCUUCGGGGGUAGAGCACUGUUUCGGCUAGGGGGUCAUCCCGACUUACCAACCCGAUGCAAACUACGAAUACCGAAGAAUGUUAUCACGGGAGACACACGGCGGGUGCUAACGUCCGUCGUGAAGAGGGAA